rnacentral:lncRNA from 10 species
GUAGCUAGGAUUACAGCCCUGCGCCACUGUGACCGGCUAAUUUUUGUAUUUUUAGUAGAGAUGGGGUUUUACCAUGUGGGCCAAGCUGGUCUCAAACUCCUGACCUCAGGUGAUCCGCCCUCAGCCUCCCAAAGUGCUGGGAUUACAGGCAUAAGCCACCGCACCCAGCCUAUUUUCAAUUUUUUUUUUUUAACUUUUAAAUCUUUUUUCUUAAAAACUAAGACAUAGGCCGGGUGAGGUGGCUCCAUCCCAUAAUCCCAGCACUUUGGGAGGCUGAGACAGGCGGAUUGCCUGAGCUCAGGAGUUAGCAACCAGCCUGGGCAACAUGGUAAAAUCCGUCUCUACUAAAAUACAAAAAAAAAAAAAAAAAAUUAGCUGGGCAUGGCACCAUGCGCCUGUAGUCCCAGCUACUCAGGAGGCUGAGGCAAGAGAAUUGCUUGAACCCCAGGGGUGGAGGUUGCAGUGAGCCAAGAUCACGCCACUGCACUCCAGCCUGGGUGACAGAGCAAGACUCCAUUUCAAUAAAAAAAAAAAAAAAAACAACUAAGACAUACGCCAGGCGUGGUGGCUCAUGCCUGUAAUCCCAACCCUUUGAGAGGCCUAGGCAGGCG